rnacentral:rRNA from 1 species
AACGAACGCUGGCGGCAUGCCUAACACAUGCAAGUCGAACGAGAUCUUCGGGUCUAGUGGCGCACGGGUGCGUAACGCGUGGGAAUCUGCCCUUUGGUUCGGAAUAACAGUUGGAAACGACUGCUUAUACCGGAUGAUGACGAAAGUCCAAAGAUUUAUCGCCAGAGGAUGAGCCCGCGUAGGAGUAGCUAGUUGGUGUGGUAAAGGCGCACCGAGGCGACGAUCCUUAGCUGGUCUGAGAGGAUGAUCAGCCACACUGGGACUGCGACACGGCCCAGACUCCUACGGGAGGCAGCAGUGGGGAAUAUUGCACGAUGGGCGAAAGCCUGAUCCAGCAAUGCCGCGUGAGUGAUGAAGGCCUUAGGGUUGUAAAGCUCUUUUACCCGGGAUGAUAAUGACAGUACCGGGAGAAUAAGCACCGGCUAACUCCGUGCCAGCCGCCGCCGUAA